UGCUGCAACUACAACUGCCAGUGUUGCAACUACAGCUGCCAGUGCUGCAACUACAGCUGCCAGUGCUGCAACUACAGUUACCACUACAACUGCUGAAACAGUCAUAACAAGGCUAUUGACUUUCAGAUCUCCAGAAGAUACAUUUACAAGUGACUUGCUGGAUCCAUCAUCUGCAGCGUUUCAAGCACGAGCCACAUUGCUAGUGUCAACACUUGGACCUUUACUCAAAGAAGCUUUUUCUUCGUUCCGCACCAUCACUGUGAAUUUAUUCAG